rnacentral:rRNA from 1 species
AAAUUGAAGAGUUUGAUCAUGGCUCAGAUUGAACGCUGGCGGCAGGCCUAACACAUGCAAGUCGAGCGGAAACGAGUUGUCUGAACCUUCGGGGAACGAUAACGGCGUCGAGCGGCGGACGGGUGAGUAAUGCCUAGGAAAUUGCCCUGAUGUGGGGGAUAACCAUUGGAAACGAUGGCUAAUACCGCAUAAUACCUACGGGUCAAAGAGGGGGACCUUCGGGCCUCU